rnacentral:rRNA from 1 species
UAGUCAUAUGCUUGUCUCAAAGAUUAAGCCAUGCAUGUCUAAGUUCAGACUUCUUGUAAAAGUGAAACUGCGAAUGGCUCAUUAAAUCAGUUGUGGUCUCAUUGAUCGCGUAUACAGUUACUUGGAUAACUGUGGCAAUUCUAGAGCUAAUACAUGCCUCGAAUGUCGCGUGUCUGUAGUGAAAGCUGCAGUACGUGAUGCACUUAUUAGGCCAAAGCCAAUCGGUGUCCGGCGCGUGCUUCCGAGUGCGUUGUCGGCCCGUAUCUCUUUUGGGCGACUCCAGAUAACUUUGCCGAUCGUACAGCCUUGCGCUGACGACAGAUCUUUCGAGCGUCUGCCUUAUCAACUGUCGACGGUAGGCUAUGCGCCAACCAUGGUUACAACGGGUAACGGGGAAUCAGGGUUCGAUUCCGGAGAGGGAGCCUGAGAAACGGCUACCACUUCUAAGGAAGGCAGCAGGCGCGCAACUUACCCACUCCCGACACGGGGAGGUAGUGACGAUAAAUAACGAUGCGGUGCUCCUAGCGAGUCAUCGCAAUCGGAAUGAGCACAUUUUAAAUCCUUUAACGAGGAUCUAUUGGAGGGCAAGCCUGGUGCCAGCAGCCGCGGUAAUUCCAGCUCCAAUAGCGUAUAUUAAAGUUGCUGCAGUUAAAAAGCUCGUAGUCGGAAUUCAGGUCAUGUCGGGCCGUCCGUACCCCAAUCGGGUCGUGUCGGCUGUGACGGGCCUCUUUGUCCGAUUCUUGGGCGAUGCCUUUAACCGGGUGUCGUUCGAGGUCGGCGCGUUUACUUUGAACAAAUCGGAGUGCUCAAUGCAAGCACAAAUUGUUGCUCGAACGUACCAGCAUGGAAUAAUGGAAUAAGACCUGUCGCUUGUUUCGUUGGUUUUGAAGACAGACAGGUAAUGAUCAAUAGGGACUGCCGGGGGCAUUCGUACUGCGGCGCUAGAGGUGAAAUUCUUGGACCGUCGCAAGACGAACAGAAGCGAAAGCGUUUGCCAAGAAUGUUUUCGUUGAUCAAGAACGAAAGUCGGAGGUUCGAAGGCGAUCAGAUACCGCCCUAGUUCCGACCGUAAACGAUGCCGACUAGAAAUCAGUCUCAGUCAUUAUUUUCAGACUAGACUGGCGGCUCCCGGGAAACCAAAGUGUUUGGGUUCCGGGGGAAGUAUGGUUGCAAAGCUGAAACUUAAAGGAAUUGACGGAAGGGCACCACCAGGAGUGGAGCCUGCGGCUUAAUUUGACUCAACACGGGGCAACUCACCCGGUCCGGACACUGUAACGAUUGACAGAUCGAGAGCUUUUUCACGAUUUAGUGGGUGGUGGUGCAUGGCCGUUCUUAGUUGGUGGAGCGAUUUGUCUGGUUGAUUCCGAUAACGAACGAGACUUCAGUCGAUUAGUUCCGUGGCACAGUCGUUCGCGACUUGUGCUGGCCUCGCGCCAAGACCGCGUUAGGUUUCUAGCGUUGGUCGACGGUACUAGAGAGACGAACGGCUUGAACCGAAGGAAGCGAAGCAAUAACAGGUCUGUGAUGCCCUUAGAUGUCCGGGGCCGCACGCGCGCUACAAUGCAGGAGACAACGGGUGCAUUUCCUGGCCUGAAAAGUGCUGGGUAAUCUCUCGUUCAAAACUCCUCCGUGGUGGGGACAGGGAAUUGCAAUUAUUUCCCUCGAACCAGGAAUUCCGAGUAAGUGCGAGUCAUCAGCUCGCGCUGAUUACGUCCCUGCCCUUUGUACACACCGCCCGUCGCUACUACCGAUUGAAUGAUUUAGUGAGGCCUUCGGAGAGGUCGCCCGGCCAGUUUCGGCUGUGCUGUGGUCGAUAUUGAAGUUGGUCGAACUUGCUCAUUUAGAGGAAGUAAAAGUCGUAACAAGGUUUUC